UGGAUCAAGGAUGCGCUAAUGGACGACACGGAUGACAAGGAAAGUGACAUCGUACAUGUUCUGGGUGUCUUGAGGAGCUUGUCUUUGGAUGAUGCUGAGCAGGUCUUUCUUUCUGGUAACGAUUAUCAUUACAGUGAAGUAAAAGAAUUUAACAGACAGAUUGACAAACAACUGACGAAAGAAGAGAGACCAUUCUAUAGUGGAUACCCUUCCAGCCGCAACCCAGUACUGGGAAACACCCAUUUACAAUUAUAUACUUGAACAUGGGGAGAACAUGCAAACUCCACACAGAAAUGACCACUGGCCCAGCCGGGGCUUGAACCAGCAACCUUCUUGCUGUGAGGCGACGGUUUCAACCACUGUGCUGCCCCAUGUGCUCUAUGCGGGUGAGUGGGAUUGACAAACCACCUGGAGGACACAUUCUUGCUGUCUUAAUGCACCAGACAUUUUGUUAUAAAUAAUCAUGUGCGUUUCAUGUUUAUUUAUAAAACUGCUAAUUUAUCUCAUAGCACUUCAUUUUUGUCUUGAUAUUUAAUAUCUUUUGUUUAAAUACACUAUGAACAGCAGCUGCGCUAAUUAUUUUCCUUGUUCCCUAUUUCCACCUGGGGAUAUUUAUCUAGAGGCCUCUAGAGAUCGUGACCUGUGAAGAGAUGAUGCCACCAUAGAGGACUUCUAGAUGUAUCCAUAAUCCUGGACCAGACCGUAUCAUGAUCAGAUGCAGUGGUGGUCAUGGAGAAGUGGAGAGCAUGAUACUGAUUAAUGAAAGACCCCAGCGACAGAUG
ensembl:processed_transcript